GAUGAAUGCUGGCGGCGUGCCUAAUAUAUGCAAGUCGAGCGGUAACAGGAGUAGUUUACUACUUGCUGACGAGCGGCGGACGGCUGAGUAACGCGUGGGAACAUGCCCCAAAGUGAGGGAUAAGCACCGGAAACGGUGUCUAAUACCGCAUAUGGUCUUCGGAUUAAAGGAUUUAUCCGCUUUGGGAGUGGCCCGCGUACGAUUAGUUUGUUGGUGAGGUAAUGGCUCACCAAGACUACGAUCGUUAACUGGUCUGAGAGGAUGAUCAGUCAGACUGGAACUGAGACACGGUCCAGACUCCUACGGGAGGCAGCAGUAAGGAAUCUUCCACAAUGGGCGAAAGCCUGAUGGAGCAACGCCGCGUGCAGGAUGAAGGCCUUCGGGUCGUAAACUGCUUUUAUACAGGAAGAAACACUCGGACGUGUCCGAGCUUGACGGUACUGUAUGAAUAAGCACCGGCUAACUCCGUG
rnacentral:rRNA from 1 species